UCAUUCACAGGAUAUGGGCAUUGCUGGCUCGGCCAGAAUUUAUUGCCCAUCCGUGAUUCCCCAGAGGGCUGUCCAGAGUCAACUGCAUUGCUGUGGGACUGGAGUAACGUAACGUACAGGCCAGACCGGGGACGUGGAAAGGGAGAAUUCACAGACAGGCAGCUCAAGUCAAACAUUGGAUCAAGAGCUGCAGGUAACACUCAGUCCUCAGGAGCUUUGAACAUGGAAGGUAAAAGCAACGUUCACAGUGAAGAGAAACCAUGCACGUGGUCUGUGUGGACAAGCCUUCAGUCAAUUGUCUGGCCUGUCGAUACGUCAAUGCAGUCAAAACAGAGACAACAAUGACAUCAAGCAGCACUUGCUUUGUAAUGUCAUGGUCAUGGAUCUCAGUUUGAGUUCAGCCAGAGCCACUCAGCUCCUGGUCUCCUUACAAUCUUGGUGCAAACAUGGACCAAACAGCUGAAUUCCAAAUAUGAGAGGGACUAUCCGCUAUCUUAAGGCUCCAUUUGACAGAGCAUUGUAUUAAGGAAUCAUAACAAAGCUAAAGUCAAUGGGAACGAGAGGAUGUUAUUCUUCCUUAUCUGGUUUUUGAAAAGAUUGCAUCUUCAGACCUCGGUAGAUCAAAAAAGGUGAAUUUAAUCAAACUUGUACCACAGACAUGUGGAAGAAGUCUCGAAGUCUAGCUUGGAGACACUCAACUUUUUACAGCUCAAUACAGCAUAUUAAGACACUUUCAUGUCAGAAUGGUUGCAUGUAACAUUGGUAUUAAAUAAAUUGUAUGUCAGUUACUUAC